UACGGAGGGUGCAAGCGUUGUUCGGAAUCAUUGGGCGUAAAGCGCGUGUAGGCGGCUUGGCAAGUCGGUUGUGAAAGCCCGGGGCCCCAACCCCGGAACUGCAUCUGAAACUGCCUGGCUAGAGUCCCGGAGAGGAAGGCAGAAUUCCCGGUGUAGGGGUGAAAUCCGUAGAUAUCGGGAGGAAUACCGAGCGGCGAAGGCGCCUUCUGGACGGUGACUGACGCUGAGACGCGAAAGCGUGGGGAGCAAACAGG
rnacentral:rRNA from 1 species